rnacentral:lncRNA from 1 species
UUUGAACAAAGUUCAUUCAAAUGAUCAAAAGUCAAAAGUCCUUUACAAAAUGUGAUAACAGACUAUUUAUAGCCUAAAUUUGAUAGCCUAAAGGACAAAAUAAACAAGCUUAAUGACUAAGUGAUGUGGCUAUUAAUGAGUUAAAUUAAACUAGAGAAAUGAACUUUAAAGGCAUGUCCAUAUUGGGCUGAAUGGAACAUCAAUGGACACCUUCUUGAUUAAGCAAACAUAGCUCUUGAAUGUAGAUGAAUGAAUGGCAGCCCAUCAGCCUUGUCUAGGUUCGGCUAUAGC